CCUGACAGUGGAGUACAGCACACUCUGGUGCCCAGUUCCUGCUCACACUGACUCACUGUGAGCUUCUGUGAGGUAAGAAUCCAACUCAAAGCAUUUUCCUGUCCCCCACCCUGUUUUUCCUCUCCCCUGUUCCUUCCCCAGUUUGUGAAAGCUCGGCUUGAAAUUACUGAGAAUCUGUUUUACUUAGUGUCUGUGACUUUGUGGAAAGGAGAUGGGAUCCAAUACUUUGCCUGCUAAAAGGCAGGUGCUCAACGAAGCCUUUGCAGCAGCAUGAAGACGUCUGCAGAAAGCACAUAAAUCCAAGGAAACACCCCUGAGGUUAAGAAGGAGGAUGUAAUAUAAAUUAUUCAUAGCUGGAAAUUAGCAAUUAGUCAUUUGGUGACAGAGGAGGCAGGAAGCCCAAACCAAGUUCAUUAAGGGGUCCUAGGCCCUUUUUCAGGCAGGCUGCAAAGUGGCACGCAGAGGAAAAGCCAGGACACACGUGGGUAAGAGCAGGAACACAAAUUUGGGGCUCAGAGAGCCCCAGAGGGAGCGAAUAAAGCCCAGCCCUGCAGGGUCCA